rnacentral:rRNA from 1 species
CCUACGGGAGGCAGCAGUGGGGAAUUUUGGACAAUGGGCGAAAGCCUGAUCCAGCCAUGCCGCGUGUCUGAAGAAGGCCUUCGGGUUGUAAAGGACUUUUGUCAGGGAGGAAAUCCCUAGCGUUAAUACCGCUGGGGGAUGACAGUACCUGAAGAAUAAGCACCGGCUAACUACGUGCCAGCAGCCGCGGUAAUACGUAGGGUGCGAGCGUUAAUCGGAAUUACUGGGCGUAAAGCGUGCGCAGGCGGUUUGAUAAGCCAGAUGUGAAAUCCCCGAGCUCAACUUGGGAACUGCGUUUGGAACUGUCAGACUAGAGUGCGUCAGAGGGGGGUGGAAUUCCGCGUGUAGCAGUGAAAUGCGUAGAGAUGCGGAGGAACACCGAUGGCGAAGGCAGCCCCCUGGGAUGACACUGACGCUCAUGCACGAAAGCGUGGGGAGCAAACAGGAUUAGAUACCCUGGUAGUCCACGCCCUAAACGAUGUCAAUUAGCUGUUGGGGGUUAGAAUCCCUGGUAGCGUAGCUAACGCGUGAAAUUGACCGCCUGGGGAGUACGGCCGCAAGGUUAAAACUCAAAUGAAUUGACGG